rnacentral:rRNA from 1 species
GAUGAACGCCGGCGGCGUGCCUAAUACAUGCAAGUAGAACGCUGAAGCUUGGUGCUUGCACCGAGCGGAUGAGUUGCGAACGGGUGAGUAACGCGUAGGUAACCUGCCUCUUAGCGGGGGAUAACUAUUGGAAACGAUAGCUAAUACCGCAUAAAAGUCGAUAUCGCAUGAUAUUGAUUUGAAAGGUGCAAAUGCAUCACUAAGAGAUGGACCUGCGUUGUAUUAGCUAGUUGGUGAGGUAACGGCUCACCAAGGCGACGAUACAUAGCCGACCUGAGAGGGUGAUCGGCCACACUGGGACUGAGACACGGCCCAGACUCCUACGGGGGGCAGCAGUAGGGAAUCUUCGGCAAUGGGGGCAACCCUGACCGAGCAACGCCGCGUGAGUGAAGAAGGUUUUCGGGUCGUAAAGCUCUGUUGUAAGAGAAGAACGAGUGUGAGAGUGGAAAGUUCACACUGUGACGGUAACUUACCAGAAAGGGACGGCUAACUACGUGCCAGCAGCCGCGGUAAUACGUAGGUCCCGAGCGUUAUCCGGAUUUAUUGGGCGUAAAGCGAGCGCAGGCGGUUAGAUAAGUCUGAAGUUAAAGGCUGUGGCUUAACCAUAGUACGCUUUGGAAACUGUUUAACUUGAGUGCAGAAGGGGAGAGUGGAAUUCCAUGUGUAGCGGUGAAAUGCGUAGAUAUAUGGAGGAACACCGGUGGCGAAAGCGGCUCUCUGGUCUGUAACUGACGCUGAGGCUCGAAAGCGUGGGGAGCAAACAGG